UGCGUAGGCGGCGCGCUAAGUCAGGGGUGAAAGACGGUGGCUCAACCGUGGAGGGUCAUUGGAAACUGGGAGACUUGAGUGCAGAAGAGGAAAGUGGAAUUCCAUGUGUAGCGGUGAAAUGCGUAGAGAUAUGGAGGAACACCAGUGGCGAAGGCGACUUUCUGGUCUGUAACUGACACUGAGGCGCGAAAGCGUGGGGAGCAAACAGGAUUAGAUACCCUGGUAGUCCACGCCGUAAACGAUGAGUGCUAAGUGUUAGAGGGUUUCCGCCCUUUAGUGCUGAAGUUAACGCAUUAAGCACUCCGCCUGGGGAGUACGGCCGCAAGGCUGAAACUCAAAAGAAUUGACGG
rnacentral:rRNA from 1 species